rnacentral:rRNA from 1 species
GAACGCCUGUAGCAAUACAGGAGUGGCAGACGGGUGAGUAACACGUGGGAACGUGCCCUUCGGUUCGGAAUAACCCAGGGAAACUUGGGCUAAUACCGGAUACGUCCGCAAGGAGAAAGAUUUAUCGCCGAAGGAUCGGCCCGCGUCUGAUUAGCUAGUUGGUGGGGUAACGGCCCACCAAGGCGACGAUCAGUAGCUGGUCUGAGAGGAUGAUCAGCCUCACUGGGACUGAGACACGGCCCAGACUCCUACGGGAGGCAGCAGUGGGGAAUAUUGGACAAUGGGCGCAAGCCUGAUCCAGCCAUGCCGCGUGGGUGAUGAAGGCCCUAGGGUUGUAAAGCCCUUUCGGCGGGGAAGAUAAUGACGGUACCCGCAGAAGAAGCCCCGGCUAACUUCGUG